rnacentral:ribozyme from 1 species
GCUGUACUUGCAUGUGAAUGUAGGUGCAGUCGUCCUCAGUAAAUGACAACCAUGUGGGGCGUAAGUAGUAUUUUAUGCAGAAUAAUUAGAGUGGUGAUUGCUUUAAUUAAUACUGAUAAUCACAAAUAUUAUGAUCGUGCGGACGUAAAAAUCAUGG